rnacentral:lncRNA from 1 species
AGGGAAGCAUAUAAUCCUUGUUUUACAGAUGGGGAAACUGAGGCCCUGAGAUGGGAGGUGGCUGGUCCAACCUCAUGUCAAGUAGAGGGACUUGGGAUGCAAGUCCCGGUUGCUGGAGUUGGGGAAACGGAGAAGAAUCAGCGCCCAGCCCUUGCUGAGCUUGGUACACAUAUUUAUUAUAUAAUGGAGCUGGAAGUGAAGACAUUCUCCAUAUUUUCCUCUGUUCAGUGUACGUGGUGUAGAUGUACUUAAAGGUCUGCCACCUUUCAGAAAGACUCCUUGAAACAACAUAUCAGAAUUCUUCCAUUGCAAAGACAAGCCAAUCUGGUUUUCUGACUACCAAUCGAGAGCUCUUCUCACCAGAACAUGCAGUGUGUAGUUACGGCCUCAGCUUUGAUGGGACGAUUUCUAGAAGCAGUGAUGGGGCUCUGGGUCAGGACAUUCAAGUAGACCAUUGAGAAAAAUACUGAGGAGAGGAGCCAAGAGGGAAAGCACUCUCCUUGUGCAUCUGACUCAAGCCAGGCAGUGCGUGUGUGCUUUGCUGCAUCACAGUACCUUAAAGAAGCUGGGGUUGUUCUAGUCGUCCAUGGUAGAGAGGAAGCUGAAGCUCAGAGAGGGAAAGUGACUUGUCCAAGGUCAUACAGCCUAGAGGAUAGAACUGGCGUAUGGGUGCAGGUCUCUCUGAUUCCAAAGCCCCAAGCAAUUUAGGUACCAUAUGAGGUAUGACAAAGCUACGACAAACCUAGACAGCGUAUUAAAAAGCAGAGACAUUACUUUGCCAACAAAGGUCUGUAUAGGCAAAGUGAUGGUUUUUCCAGUAGUCAUGUAUGGAUGUGAGAGUUGGACCGUAAAGAAUGGUGAGCACCGAAGAACUAAUGCUUUUGAACUGUGAUGUUGGAGAAGACUCUUGAGAGUCCCUUGGACUGCAAGGAGAUCAAACCAGUCAAUCCUAAAGGAAAUCAACCCUGAAUAUUCAUUGGAAGGACUGGAUGCUGAAGCUGAAACUCCAAUACUUUGGUCACCUGAUGAGAACUGACUCAUGGGAAAAGCCCUGACGCUGGGAACGAUUGAAGGCAGGAGGAGAAGGGGACGACAGAGGACACGAGAUGCUUGGAUGGCAUCACUGACUGGAUGAGCAUGAGUUUGAGCAAGCUCCAGGAGAUGGUGAAGGACAGGGAGGCCUGGCAUGCUGCAGUUCAUGGAGUGUGAAAGAGUCGGACACGACUGAGCAACUGAACUGAACUGAUAAACGUACGGCUUAAGAAACUCAGUGCCAGUGAUUGUAUUAAGCACUUUACCUAUAUGUAUUUAUCGUCACAACUACUCUAUGAAGUAGUUGCCAUCAUUAUUUCCAUUUUAGAUAUGAGAAAACAGGUACAGGACAAUAAAGGAAUAGAAGUAAGGGUGGAACUGGGAUUG